UUGGCCCUGAAUCAAGGCCAGCAGUUUGCUGAAGCUGUUGGUUUCAAGCAGGAGCCUAAAUGAAUGUCUUUCUAUGGUCUGUUGGCCAUUUCAGAAAUUUGUAAAUCUAAUGGUCAAUUCAUUAGAAAGAAACAUCU
rnacentral:snoRNA from 1 species